AUGAUUCGGUUCUCAAAUAAUCAGGAAAGAGUGCUUCUGGAGGGGUGGGGUGGAGGAGGGCGGCUGCGGGGCCUCACGGCAGCUCUGCCCCCGCUCCCCCCACCAAGGGCGGCCUCGGUCGGCUCUCUGCCCCCCCACGCCCCUCCCUCCUCUCCGCUGCCUCCGGCUGGUUGGGCUCGCUGUUGCUACCUCCCGGCAGAUGCAACGAGGCGAGAGGAAGCAAAUCAGAUUCCAGGCUGCUGCCAGGUGUUGUCUCGUCUUCCGCCGUUGCUCAGCACCCGCCGCCGCGACUGCUGCCCCCCUGGCUCGGGUCCCAAAGGGGUGGUGCUGGAAGGGAGGUGGCGGGGCGGUGAGCUGACCGUCCGAGGAGGGGAAACAAGGUUCUUGCAGCGGAGAAGGCGCUCAGCUACCCCCGCCGCCGCCGCCGCCGCCGCGGCCGCCGCCGCUGCAUUCAGCACCCCGGGCGAGUGGACAGCUCCCACCCAGACCCCGCGCGUCACGCAAGUGCCCAGGUCAGUAGGUGGCACAUCAUACGUGCUCAAUACAUAUUUGUUGAAUGGAACAUGGCCACCAUCACCAUCACCAAAGUCAUCAUUACUCCAAGCUAUAGACUUCUUCCAACUGUGA
rnacentral:lncRNA from 12 species